rnacentral:rRNA from 1 species
UACGUAGGGUGCGAGCGUUGUCCGGAAUUAUUGGGCGUAAAGAGCUUGUAGGCGGUUUUUCGCGUCUGCCGUGAAAAUCCGGGGCUCAACCCCGGACUUGCGGUGGGUACGGGCAGACUAGAGUGUGGUAGGGGAGACUGGAAUUCCUGGUGUAGCGGUGAAAUGCGUAGAGAUCUCCAAGAACACCAGUGGCGAAGGCGGCUGGCUGGGUCCACAUUGACGCUGAGGCUCGAAAGCGUGGGGAGCAAACAGG